rnacentral:rRNA from 1 species
UACAGAGGCCUCGAGCGUUAGGCGGAAUCACUGGGCGUAAAGCGCUCGUAGGCGGAUCUUUAAGUCAGGGGUGAAAUCCCGAGGCUCAACCUCGGAACUGCCUUUGAUACUGGGGAUCUCGAGUCCGGGAGAGGUGAGUGGAACUGCGAGUGUAGAGGUGAAAUUCGUAGAUAUUCGCAAGAACACCAGUGGCGAAGGCGGCUCACUGGCCCGGUACUGACGCUGAGGAGCGAAAGCGUGGGGAGCAAACAGG